UCCUCAGGAUGUGAAUUGGCUGGACCAAGAGUUCUUGGUCCACACCUGUCUGAGCUCUCUGACCUCACCUUCCUUUCCCCACUGGGAGACAACCCCGGGACUGGGAAGAAUGCCGUUCCAAGUCUGCCACCUUCAACGCCCCUCGGUAACACAUCCCUGACCCCAUGGAACAUAUCUCCACCCAUCAUCACGGCAAACCCAAGGACAAGAGAGACAAUCGAGGAGUGGGCGAUAAUGUAACAUUGAGACCAGGAGUAGCCACUGAUGAAGAAGGCAACAAUUCCUCUGGAUUCUAUUGGAAGCACCCUUACAUCCAACCAGCAGAGCAGAAAGGUGAGAAUACAGAACAGGGAGGACUGACCAUCCUUUACUGGUGAACUGGCUUAUUUGUAUCCAUGUGUUGCAGGAUGAACCAAAAGACUACUGGGAAUAUUUUACUGAAUUAUCUCCACUCAUCCAAUGCUGACUUUACAGUUCCAAUCAGAAUUCAUUGUGACUGUUAGUUGGUUGUUUUGUAAAGAUGAAUUCCCACAAAUAGGUUUGAAAGCAUGUUAAUAUUUAUUUAUAUUUAAGAUAUUUAACCUGCUUAGAUGUUAGGGACUGAACACCCUCUAGUGGUUGUGUAUGUACAACGACAAACAUGUGUGCCUAACAUCAAUAAAAUGCAUUCCUUAUAUUUACCGAAGUCACAUAUAUUGGGGAAAAACAAGAGAACAGGUGAUCCCCAAAAAAGAUUUUAUUUUUCAAGCUACAGUUAAAGAAAAACAAUACCAGAGGCCGAAAAUAUAACAUCUGCUAGGCUUUCUUUUCCUCUCUUUUCACUUUCAAAUAUGUACAGUUAUCGAAGAACAGGGUAUAUACAGAGAAUCGAAGGGAAGGGUGGUGGACAGAGUGCAUUUGCUUUUUGGGGACUAAACAUGACUCUUCCACCAACAAAAAAAGCAAGGUAAAACCAACCAACAUAAAAGGACCUGCCACGACACUGGUGAUAUCAAAUUACUUUUCUGUACAAUACAAACAGUCUACUUUGUUUCACGAAUGAGAAUUAUGAGGGUGAGGGAUUUGUAUGUUCUCUGAUUUGGAAGCAAAUCUCAACUAGCGUUUUCUGAACUUUUAAACAAAAAUAAUGAUAACAUGAAAGAAAUACAAAAUAUAUAUUUUACAACCAUUCAUGCAAAAAGAUGUUCAAGCCACUUCUACAAGGUGAAGUGGCUCCAACUUUUUCCGUCACGACAGUUUACAACAAUCACAUCAAUCUCCCAAACCAGAAGUCUCUAAUGAAAAGAACGCACAAAUGUGAAUAAAAACAAAAAAAAGCACAGAACAAGCAUUGGAGGAAUUUGAAGUCUGUCGCCAAGUCAAACCGCAACCAAAGGGUAGUCAUGGUAUUCCAUUGUCAUGCAGAGGGAACUCAAAGUAAUCAAGUGGUGAUGUAGCAGAUGUUGACCCACUCCUCAAAGCUUAUACUGCACCAGUUGACAAAAAAAAUGUAUUUUAAAAAAAUAUAUAUUUACUGGUUAUGGGCUGGAUCUAAAAACUUUACAGCACAGCCCUUAGUUUAAAAGUUAGUGUAUUAGCAAUUGCCAAAAGCAAUUAACUUUCAAAUGAAAUAACCACAAAAAAAGGGGGUGUUUGGUUUGGGCUUGUGCUUGUUUUAGUGCACUGUUGUAGCACAAGUUAGUGCAUAUUUCUAUGGAAUAGAUUGAACAUUUCAAUUUUGAUAUGAUAUUGUUUCAAUCAGAAAACCUCUGAUGAGAGAAAUCCUAUAGGGGCUUAACACUGUGGCAAGCGGUACUGAGUGUAAUAGACAGAAACUAAUAAACAAAUGCCAAAAUUGAAAGCUUACAUAAGAAAAAAGUAGCAAAAAAAUAAAGAGAGACCCUUUUUAGACCUAAAAAUGAGAAACUUAUGGACAAAAACAAACAUGUUUGUUUUCUUUUCAGAUAAUGAAGGGGGUUGUGCCUCUGCCAUGGUGUGGCAGUCGCAUUGAACACUGGUUACAGAGGGUCUGACAAAAGUGGAUGUACCAUUAUAAAAUACUAGCUUUUUCCUUUGAACGUUGACAGAAAAGCAACCCAUCAAAUGUCCUAAAUAAAUAAUUAUCUAUACCUUGUCAUGCACCUUAUGCUAUGACCUUAAUGUAAAAGCCAGGAAAUGGAUCUCUGUAUGGUUGCCUUAGCAUUUCAAUGAA